UUGAACGCUGGCGGCAGCGCCUAACACAUGCAAGUCGAGCGGCAGCGGGAAAGUAGCUUGCUACUUUUGCCGGCGAGCGGCGGGACGGGUGAGUAAUGCCUGGGAAAUUGCCCAGUCGAGGGGGAUAACAGUUGGAAACGACUGCUAAUACCGCAUACGCCCUACGGGGGAAAGCAGGGGACCUUCGGGCCUUGCGCGAUUGGAUAUGCCCAGGUGGGAUUAGCUAGUUGGUGAGGUAAUGGCUCACCAAGGCGACGAUCCCUAGCUGGUCUGAGAGGAUGAUCAGCCACACUGGAACUGAGACACGGUCCAGACUCCUACGGGAGGCAGCAGUGGGGAAUAUUGCACAAUGGGGGAAACCCUGAUGCAGCCAUGCCGCGUGUGUGAAGAAGGCCUUCGGGUUGUAAAGCACUUUCAGCGAGGAGGAAAGGUUGAUGCCUAAUACGUAUCAACUGUGACGUUACUCGCAGAAGAAGCACCGGCUAAC
rnacentral:rRNA from 1 species